rnacentral:rRNA from 1 species
UACGUAGGGUGCAAGCGUUAAUCGGAAUUACUGGGCGUAAAGCGUGCGCAGGCGGUUUUGUAAGCCAGAUGUGAAAGCCCCGGGCUUAACCUGGGAAUGGCAUUUGGGACUGCAAGGCUUGAGUGCGGCAGAGGAGACGUGGAAUUCCUGGUGUAGCAGUGAAAUGCGUAGAAUAUCAGGAGGAACACCGGUGGCGAAGGCGGCAUCC